rnacentral:tRNA from 1 species
GGAGAGAUGGCUCAGUGGUUAAGAGCACUGGCUGCUCAACCAGAGGUCCUGAGUUCAAUUCUCAGCACCC